rfam:Candidatus Portiera aleyrodidarum strain AF-CAI genome assembly, chromosome: I
GCCGAUAUAGCUCAGUUGGUAGAGCAUCUGAUUUGUAAUCAGGUUGUCUCAGGUUCGAAUCCUGAUGUCGGUA